GCUUACGGCCAUACCACCCUGAGCGCGCCCGAUCUCGUCUGAUCUCGGAAGCUAAGCUGGGUCGGGACCGUGGUUAGUACUUGGGAUGGGGAGACCGCCUGGGAAUACCAGGUGCUGUAAGCU
rnacentral:rRNA from 1 species